CCAGGAGGGGUGGGGGCGCUGCAGACACGGAUGGUUCAGAAGAGAACACCGUUUCUGGGCAUCCUCAGCCCUACUGG
ensembl:miRNA